UUUAAACACCGCCAUAAAUUUUCAUGUCUAAUUUUAAUUGUUCGUCUUAUUUAAAACUUUUUUAUUAAUAUUUCUAUUGUAUUAUAUGAUAAUAAAACAUGAAUAGUACUUGAUGUUUUUUUUAAAAAAUAAGACAAACGAUUAAAAUUGGACAUUGAAACUCAUAUGCGCUUAAA
rfam:Oryza glumipatula chromosome 3, whole genome shotgun sequence.